CCUGUUUUCUUUCUUCCUGUUAGAGAGAAGACAACGGGGAUUUUCCCAAAAAGAAGAAGAAAUGAAAAGAAUCCCAACAGAUGUCAGCUUCCAGCAAGCAAAGGCACCAACAAACUGAACCUUUUCUGCUGAACAAAGCCAAGCAAGAUGACCAAGAGCCGGCCUGCCCUCAUACACUGAAUGAGGCAGAGUUUGCAGUGACCCAGACUGGAACCCAAGGGCCAUACGUGGUUCUCCAGGAUGUAAAUAGUUCCAAGUUCUCUGCUCCUUUGAAGCCCUAGGAACAAUUUUGUUGUUUUUGUUUUACUUUAUAGUUCAAUGCAAAGAAGCUGCAUCAUAUUUUUGUUUCAAAUACAGUUGUAAGUUCUUUUGGUUA